rnacentral:misc_RNA from 1 species
CAUAAAUUAUACUAAAAACACAAAAAAUCAAAGGUAUAAAAAUUAUACAAAAUGGACGAAGAAUAUCUUACCUUGGAAACGGAAUCUGAGACAGAGCCGAAUAUCGUAAUCGAUCCGGAUGGCAAUAGAUCCAUAGCAUUUCCAUUGCCACAGCAGGAGGAUCCAUCCAUUUGUCGCGAUGAAUUCCUCAAGAUCAUACUGAAGCCCUACGAGCUUGUCAGCGAAGUGAUGUAUGAUGUAUCCACCCGGAGAGAGACGUUUCAAAUGGAAUCGGGUGUAACAGCCGAGGGAAUGGCCAUAAUGAAAAUGUUGAAGACACAACGAAAGGUCGUCCUUGAGGACGCUAUCGUUUUCCGACCAUCGCUGACAUGGGAGGAGAAACAGAUGCUAUACAAAAAGGUAUUGGAUCAGUUUCAGAAGUCAGCCAUCGAGUUUCUCUCGGUACGGCUGAGAAAGCAAAUCGACACCAUCAUGCACAUAUGGCCGGGUGAAAGUGAGGAAAUACCUCACAAGCUAUUUUACUGGUCGCUAGAACAUUUUCAGCGACGUCAGAAGGUCAAUCAACUCUAUCUGGAGGUGCUGCCCAUUGAGAGAACCCGAGACGAUCUGGACUGUUCGAAAUUCUGCACAGAUAUCAAGGAAAUUAAACGACUGCUCGCUGCAAUCAAACUGGACUUUUCCAAAGGUAACGAUCUGUGCAAGAGUGCCCUUGUAUUGCUAGACGAAUCGAACUAUGAGUAUAACUCAACGUGGGUAUCGGAACUAGAUCAUCUGCGUAACGCUCACCAGGAGUUGGCGCUAAAUAAGUAUGUGGAUAUCAUGCGAAACAGCUCUGAUAGCGGUGCCAGAAUGUUGGCCGAUAACGAUAAGGCUGAAGCUAUCAUGCACAUUGAGACGCGAUAUCGUAUCAAAUGGAUGCGCUGUGCCGGGGAGCAGCAUCUAAUGUGGUUGGAGGCCAAGGAGAGCACAUUUCAGAACGAGAUCGAAGAGCUAAAGCUGAAAGUCAAAAACGAUGAAGCCACAUUUGCUUUCGUCGACUUCGUAUAUCAAUAUCAGAUAGACAAUUAUAGGGCAUCGAUAGCCAUAUGGCAGGAUCAGCUCGAUGCGGAUCUUGAGAAAGCCGAACUGGAGUGUAAUAUAACUCGAAAUCAUUGGACUAAGGCUAAGGAUGAUUUGAAAUUCUUUAAGGAACAAGUCGAGAUGUUCAAAGCGAGAGUGGAGGAGGUCAAUGAACUGAUUGCCGCAGAGGAACGUGAAAAAUUACGAUCAAGAAUGUCCUCAAUAAAGACCGAUAGGCGUAAGUCAUCGAUGAAGAAGAAGGGAACAACGGGCCAAGGCAAAAAGAAGAAAAUUAAAUUUGAAGUCGCGAACUAAUCAACUGUGUGUUGGCAACCAAAACAAACCCAUAAAACAUACAAAUAAACAAGAAAUUCAUAAACCUCCAACCCCCCAUUAUCCAAAAUUGCCCACUGGCUGACUGAAUCAAAAUCAAAGUCAUUGCUAAGCCAAACAAUUCACAACAACUUUCUGGACGUGCUUAUACCCUGUACCCAUAGAAAAGUAUAACAAACAUUGUGUAGCCGCUAGCCAAGAGGGUAUCUCGUCAUCGAUCAG